GCCCAGUGCUUCGCCUUUUGAAGGGGAAAAUUGGGUUGCUGUGGCACGCAGGGCAAGACGGGCAGAACCUGGGGGCUGUUGGUACACUGCUUUUUGUGACGACUUGCUGCUCGCUUUUGCCUGCUGUUUCGUGCUGAUGAUGCUGUUGUUGACGCUCUUUUCUCACAGCAUCCCCCCCCCCCCCAAAACGAUGGGAGCACAGCAGGGACAGCUAUUCGGGCAAAAUCGGAAUACAGCCUAAGCUUUUUCCCUUGUGGCACAGCUUAUUGGCUUGGGAAGCUCAAUAUUUAACACACCCAGCUCUCUGCCAACUAUGGUAUAACAGGGCAAAAUGCCCAAGCUUCAGCUAGAAGCUCCCCGUCAACAGUCUACAGCUGAUGUUGGUGUUGCUAUUGUUGUUUUGGCCAUCACGCACACCUUGACAGUUCUCAGGCAAAGCUCGCCGCGAAUCCUGGCCGAAAAUUUUUGGGCUGCUGCCCAUCUGAGGCACACUGAGGCUCCCUCUCACUCGAGACAGGGGUAAGCAACCCGUGUCCCCCACCCAAAAAAGCUGUGAUGGACAACUGCCAUUGGUUGAAGCUCGACUUUCGCAUAGUGCACCUUGGGGAAAACAGCUACUGUGGGACAAACGAAAGCAGCCAGUAUCGGCUGUAAAAACACUAGUAGUGAUGACGACAGGAUCGAAUAGGAUACUAAAACCGCUCCUCACUGUUUACGCCGCGUGUCUUUGCACAAAAGCAUGCAUGCGCAUAAUCACAACCAAAAAUCGAAGCGGUGGCGACAGGAAGCUCGAUGGGCGGUAGGGUAUAGCUCGAUAUGUUGUUGAAACUCGAGCUUGCGCUGUUCGUGUCCGGUUCUGGGAUAUGUUGAAACAAGAGCUGUCACCAGAUAUUCAAAGCUUGGAUGGCUUUUGACGAACCACGGCCAUAGACAUUGAUUUG